rnacentral:rRNA from 1 species
CCUGGUUGAUCCUGCCAGUGGUCAUAUGCUUGUCUCAAAGAUUAAGCCAUGCAUGUUUAAGCAGAAGCCGCACAACGGUAAAGCCGCGAAUGGCUCAUUACAACAGCCGUCGUUUCUUGGAUCUCUAAUUUUACUUGGAUAACUGUGGUAAUUCUAGAGCUAAUACACGCACUAAAGCUCUGACCUUACGGAACGAGCGCAUUUAUUAGAACAAAACCAAUCGGGUUUCGGCCCGUUCGUUGGUGACUCUGAAUAACUCUGCCGAUCGCACGGUCUCGCACCGGCGACGUAUCUUUCAAGUGUCUGCCUUAUCAACUUUCGAUGGUAGUUUAUGUGCCUACCAUGGUUGUAACGGGUAACGGAGAAUAAGGGUUCGACUCCGGAGAGGGAGCCUGAGAAACGGCUACCACAUCCAAGGAAGGCAGCAGGCGCGCAAUUACCCACUCUCGGCACGAGGAGGUAGUGACGAAAAAUAACGAGACGGAUCUCUUUGAGGCCCGUUAUCGGAAUGAGAACAAUUCAAAUCCUUUAACGAGGAUCUAGGGAGGGCAAGUCUGGUGCCAGCAGCCGCGGUAAUUCCAGCUCCGCAGGUGUAUAUCUAUGCUGCUGCGGUUAAAAAGCUCGUAGUUGGAUCUGCGUGCUCGGAACUGGUUGGCUCACUGAGUUCAAACUGGUCUCCGGCGCUUUAUUGGCUGGUUUUCCCUUGAUGCUCUUAACCGGGUGUCUUGGGUGGCUAGCACGUUUACUUUGAAAAAAUUAGAGUGCUCAAUACAGGCGUAAAGCCUUGAAUAGUGGUGCAUGGAAUAAUAGAAUAGGACCUCGGCUCUAUUUUGUUGGUUUUCGGAACGCGAGGUAAUGAUUAAGAGGGACAGACGGGGGCAUUCGUAUUGCGACGUUAGAGGUGAAAUUCUUGGAUCGUCGCAAGACGGACGACUGCGAAAGCAUUCGCCAAGAAUGUUUUCAUUAAUCAAGAACGAAAGUUAGAGGUUCGAAGGCGAUCAGAUACCGCCCUAGUUCUAACCGUAAACGAUGCCAACUAGCGAUUCGCAGGCGUUAAACAACGACCUUGCGGGCAGCUUCCCGGAAACGAAAGUGUUCGGGUUCCGGGGGAAGUAUGGUUGCAAAGCUGAAACUUAAAGGAAUUGACGGAAGGGCACCACCAGGAGUGGAGCCUGCGGCUUAAUUUGACCAACACGGGAAAACUCACCCGGCCCGGACACCGUAAGGAUUGACAGAUUGAGAGCUCUUUCUUGAUUCGGUGGGUGGUGGUGCAUGGCCGUUCUUAGUUGGUGGAGCGAUUUGUCUGGUU